GGAUGGUCGUCUGUCCGAAGUUAACGUAGCUGGGAACAGAAGAGCACAGAACCCAGAUAAGGAAAACUGAGGCUCAGAGAAAUGGCGAAUUGUGGAUCUCUUCGCCCAGCUGGAAGGGAUGGAAGCAGGCUCCAUCUCACGAUGAUCCUCACGACCCAAUGUGAGGAGCUGAGGACUGAGAUCAACGGCCUCCCUGAGUCCUGUCGCCAUCCAGGCCCCUGGGAGCCAGUCAUGGGCUUCACAUCCCUGGACACGUUUGUUGAUUAGUAGAACACAAAACAGGAACAACAUGACAAGAUUACUUUAUCAGCCUCGUGGUCCUUCCCUUUCUGACCAAUGGGAACAUGGAUGUGAUGCUUGGAGCUGCUCUAACAUUUUUGUGACCCUGAGAAAGCAUGGAUAAAUGUAUGUCCACGAGAGAUGGCAGAGAAGACAAGCGGAAUAUACUUGAAUCCCUUUGGCAUCCGUCACGUGAUGUGACAGUCUUAUAAUGUCUACUUCUGGGCUUACUGUUACAUUCAGAAGAACAUGUGUCAUUCUUCUAUGGAGAGGGGGUUUCUUUUCAUAGU